GCAAGUCGAGCGGACAGAUGGGAGCUUGCUCCCUGAUGUUAGCGGCGGACGGGUGAGUAACACGUGGGUAACCUGCCUGUAAGACUGGGAUAACUCCGGGAAACCGGGGCUAAUACCGGAUGCUUGUUUGAACCGCAUGGUUCAAACAUAAAAGGUGGCUUCGGCUACCACUUACAGAUGGACCCGCGGCGCAUUAGCUAGUUGGUGAGGUAACGGCUCACCAAGGCAACGAUGCGUAGCCGACCUGAGAGGGUGAUCGGCCACACUGGGACUGAGACACGGCCCAGACUCCUACGGGAGGCAGCAGUAGGGAAUCUUCCGCAAUGGACGAAAGUCUGACGGAGCAACGCCGCGUGAGUGAUGAAGGUUUUCGGAUCGUAAAGCUCUGUUGUUAGGGAAGAACAAGUACCGUUCGAAUAGGGCGGUACCUUGACGGUACCUAACCAGAAAGCCACGGCUAACUACGUGCCAGCAGCCGCGGUAAUACGUAGGUGGCAAGCGUUGUCCGGAAUUAUUGGGCGUAAAGGGCUCGCAGGCGGUUUCUUAAGUCUGAUGUGAAAGCCCCCGGCUCAACCGGGGAGGGUCAUUGGAAA
rnacentral:rRNA from 1 species